rnacentral:rRNA from 1 species
GACGAACGCUGGCGGCGUGCUUAACACAUGCAAGUCGAGCGGUAAGGCCCUUUCGGGGGUACACGAGCGGCGAACGGGUGAGUAACACGUGGGUGACCUGCCCUUAGCUCUGGGAUAAGCCUGGGAAACUGGGUCUAAUACCGGAUAUGACUCCAUGACGCAUGUUGUGGGGUGGAAAGCCUUGUGCGGCUGGAGAUGGGCCCGCGGCCUAUCAGCUUGUUGGUGGGGUGAUGGCCUACCAAGGCGA